rnacentral:lncRNA from 1 species
UUAAAUUGAAUAUUAAGCAUUUAACAUCCACACGAGCUAUUUAUUUAAGCAAACACUGAACGAUUAUUACAGUUUUCAUAAUACAACCCGGAAGACCUUAUUUUAUAUUACUCUCCCACCUACUUCCUUCCACCUACUCCCUCUCACACCCACCUACUCCCUUCUUUUUGCAAACUUAAUAUAGCUAGUUGAUCCGAGCUUCCAUUUUCUAUCCUCCACAAUACAUAUUUCAUCUCCCUCAUCAAUUUUCAGCACAUCAGCUACUGAACAAAUUCAGAAGAUUUGCAGAAUGAUAACCCAACAGAUUUCUUUUGAAGGUUAAACCUCUAACUCUCUUACUCGAGCACUUCUUUUGAAACAGAAACUCAAGUUAGAACCCAUACAUAACACGUACACUGAUUCCAUCAUAUAUAUAAAUUUGCAUAUGACAACAAGACCCAAACUCAAUGAUGUUUAUUAUCGUCUGUGCAUAUACAUACAUACAUGAAGCAUUAGUUUUUUUAAAAAAGUAAAAAGAAGUAGAUAUUGAAGCUCUGUUUUCUUUAUCCUUGUUUCGAACUGCUGUGUCGAGUCGGGUAGACGAGUGUGGUGGCUGUGUGAAUUGAGUCGGGAGGUGGACGGAGGCACGGCACGGCAGCGGCGCUGCUGUCGCCCGGCCACGGUGAGAGAGAGGGAGCUAGGGCUCGGGCGCCGCUCUUCGCGGUGGGAUGUCGGGCCUGUUUCAGCCGAGAGAAGGGAGAACCGAGGGGUAGUGGUUGUCGCCGUUGCUCCGGCGAGCUCCAGCGGCCGUGAGAGCAGUCGAGAGGGAGACGAGCAGCGAGAGUGGAAGAGGGAGGCCAGAGCUCGGCGGCCUUGGCUGCUGUUGCUCGGCCACGGUCGGAGAAGUAGAGGAGAGUCGGAGUCAGCGGCGGUCGGUGGCGGUUCUCGCUGCUAUCGCCGGAGUUCCAGAGGAAGGAGGAAGGAGGAGAGGGCGGUCUAGUCGGGAACCUGUGUUGAACUUGGCCCCGUCAGAGGUUCUAGCUCGAUUGUGUCGAGUCGAGAGGAUUGGAAUGGAGGCUCUCAUAGAGAGGAUGCACGGCUCGUUUGACGAGUGAGUUGCAGGACGGCGGCGACCUUGGCCUUGCUGCCGUCGACCUGAGGAGGGAGAACCGAGCGUCGUCAGCGGCUGUCGUUGUUGCUCCGGCAAACUUCGGCGGUGGCGAAAUUCUGAGGGAGAAGGGUGCUGCUGCGUGCGUGAGUUUGUGUAGGUAGAGGAAAAACUAGGGAGAAGAAGAUGGGGUAGAGGGAAAGGGUCGGUCGUCGGCUUCUCGCCGGAAGGAGCCGCGGCAGCGGGAAUGAUGGCUGAGAGAGAGAGGUCGAGAGAGAGAGCAGUCGUGAGAUGAGAGAUAAGAGAGGGUGUGCGGCUGAUAGGGAGAAGAUAGAGAAGGGUUGGGGGUGUUGGGCUUUGGAGUGGGCUUGAGUAUAUGGGCCGAAAAUUUUAAAGGUUGGGCUUUGUUAUUUCCUUAUUUGGGCCGAGUAUUUGGGCCGAUUUUUAUAAGUGAUGGGCUUCGAUUUUUAAUAGAUUUGGGCUGCGAUUUUUAAAAGCUUGGGCCGAUUUUUAAUUUUAUUUAGCUGGGCCCGAUUUAUUUUAUUCAGUCUGGGCCAUUCAUAUUUUAUUGAGUUGGGCCUCAUCUUUUAAAUUUAUAUGGGCUAUUAUUUAUUUAAGCAUGAGCUCUAUUUCAUCUAUUUAAAUGGCUUCCCUAUUUUAUUUAAUUAGACUAUUAAUUAGUUUGAUUAAUUAUUUUUAAAGACUUUGGAUUGCCUUCAAUUAAUUAAAUUGGGCUUUCUUAUUUUUAAUUAAUUGAACUAUUAUUAGUUUGAUUAAUUUAUUUAAAGGAUAAUUUUUAUAAUAAUAUUAAAUUAUUAUUAAGUGCAUAUUUUAAGUAAUUACUUAUCAUAUGCUAAGCAUGACAUGACAUUUCAUUUGCAUCAUGAAAUAAAAAGUAUUUAUGAUUUAAUUGGUUUAUUUAUAAUUCCAAUUAUUAAAGAAAGAUGAGUAAGAAUAUUGUUGGUGUUCNUUUAAGAAAACCCCUGUGUGUUACUGUUAUGGCAGUUCAAUUUAUAUAUAUAUGCAUGUUGUAUUUUCGGCUAUGCCCACUGAGUAUCUUUAUACUCAGCCCUGCAUGUAUUUCUAAAUGUGCAGGUUGAGCAGUUGAUGGAAUGGAAUGAUGUUGAGCGGGUGUUCCUUUGACAUUUCAAGAAAUGUAACCUUGAGUAUACAUCUUCAUAUGUAUAUCUCACACGUUUUCCGCUGCAAAACACUUUGAUUAGGAUAACUCUAUGUUAUGAAGUUGUUACACGUGUUAUUGGGUAAACCACCUUAAUCAGUUCUCUUUUAUGUGUUUGUUUUAUAAGUAUCCAAAUGAUCAUAUAUGAUCCUAGCUUUUUAUCUAUAAGUGAUAUUUUCAUAUACUUUAAUGUUAAGUAAUUGUCCAUUUCCAUUUCUUAUUGUUCACCCCAAG